UAUGGAUUAUUGUGCCAUCCCGUUUGACCAUUAAUUUGUCACCUCGCAAAAUUGCACUAUAAUGAUUUGGGGAGAUAUUGCGCCUUAAAAAUCCUAUUGCAUUUAUAAAGUACAUGUAGCUUGAAGCAAAUUAUUAACUGUCUCAAAAGACUAAGGAUCGACGGUUGCUGCUCAACCAUUCUGGAAUGUUCUACAUGGUUCUCAAGAAAAUUAAUUCUGAAGAUUGUCUUUGGGCCCGUCGGGGUUCGCCACAUGGUAGAUGGUGAGAAUUCCUAAGGCAUCCUUUGUGAGUGGUUUG
rnacentral:lncRNA from 1 species